rnacentral:misc_RNA from 1 species
AAGUCGUAGGUUUCCGUAGGUGAACCUGCGGAAGGAUCAUUAACACGUAUCCAACGUUAAACCCCCCGUGAACCUUCAACAGUACUCUUGAACAGCAAUCCUGGUAAAUCAGUCCCGGAAAGUUAUUGAUUCAGGACCUCUGCCCAAAAAGAUGUGAUGUCGAGCGCAAGUAACUUCCCCAAGCAAUCGGUGUUCUGUCAGUGUCACUGAUUGUGCAAGGAUAACGCUUUACGGAUGCUGUAGGCCGAUCACCGGCCGGCGUCGUGGUCAGCGGCCUAACCGGCCCCUAAUAACACCAGUAGUUAUCUUAAGGCACCACUCCACUGCAAGUGCGCCGGAGCUGGUGAAAACGAACAACUGUUAACAAUGGAUAUCUUGGUUCUC